UCCGUAGGUGAACCUGCGGAAGGAUCAUUGCCGUCUCUGGAACCACCACCGG
rnacentral:rRNA from 1 species